rnacentral:rRNA from 1 species
AGUGAACGCUGGCGGUAGGCCUAACACAUGCAAGUCGAACGGCAGCACAGUAAGAGCUUGCUCUUACGGGUGGCGAGUGGCGGACGGUUGAGGAAUACAUCGGACUCUACUUUUUCGUGGGGGAUAACGUAGGGAAACUUACGCUACUACCGCAUACGACCUCCGGGUGAAAGCCUGGGAUCUUCGUACCUUGCUCGUUUGAAUGUGCCUUGGUCGGAUUAGCUAGUUGGCGGGGUAAAGGCCCACCAAGGCGACGAUCCGUAGCUGGUCUGAGAGGAUGAUCAGACACACUGGAACAGAGACACGGGCCAGACUCCUACGGGAGGCAGCAGUGGGGAAUAUUGGAAAAUAGGAGCAAGCCUGAUCCAGCCAUGCCGCGUGGGUGAAGAAGGCAAUCGGGUUGUAAAGCACAUUUGUUGGGAAAGAAAAGCAGCAGGUUAAAACCCCGAUGUUCUGACGGUACCCAAAGAAUAAGCACCGGCUAACUUCGUG